rnacentral:rRNA from 1 species
GAUGAACGCUGGCGGCGUGCCUAAUACAUGCAAGUCGAGCGAACGGACGAGAAGCUUGCUUCUCUGAUGUUAGCGGCGGACGGGUGAGUAACACGUGGAUAACCUACCUAUAAGACUGGGAUAACUUCGGGAAACCGGAGCUAAUACCGGAUAAUAUUUUGAACCGCAUGGUUCAAAAGUGAAAGACGGUCUUGCUGUCACUUAUAGAUGGAUCCGCGCUGCAUUAGCUAGUUGGUAAGGUAACGGCUUACCAAGGCAACGAUGCAUAGCCGACCUGAGAGGGGGCUCGGCCACUCUGAAAGUGGGACACGGCCCAACCCCCUACGGGAGGCGGCAGUAGGGAUCCUUCCGCAAGGGGCGAAACCCUGAGGGGGCAACGCCGCGGGGGUAAUAAAGUUCUUCGGUUCGUAAAAUCCUUUUAUUAGGGAAAAAAAUAUUUGUAAGUAAAUGGGCACCUUUGGGCGGUCCCAAAUCAGAAAGCCCCGGCAAACUACGU